AAUCGGGGGUGCUGUCCCAUGAGGACGGCUGAGAUGGCAAUGCCGAACCCUUUUACCUGAUACGGAUAAUACCGGCGUAGGGAGAUUU
rnacentral:ncRNA from 1 species